GGACUAUUAUGCACUGUAUAAUGCACAUAGUUUUGCAGUUUGGAUGAUGAGGAAAAUUCUACACCAGAUGCAACAAUUAUGGCAGCCAACACCAGUGGGUUAUCCUGCAAAAGAAAUACAUCAUAUUAUUUUCUUGAUCUGACAACAAAAUCAAUGGCAUUUCCAUUUCAGUUUAAUACAAAUUGCACACAAGGGUAACAUCCCACCAGCAUAGAUUAGAGAACCAUGGCAAAAAGACUGGCAUUCAGUAUCAGAAGUAUGAACUGGGAAAAUAUAAGGACCUGCACUCUAGUUUUGGCGAAAUGAAAUAGACCUUCCUUCUGGUUGAGAAAGACAGACACCUCCAUGACUUAACAGUGGAAGUGGAACAAAAUAAUGUUGUCAUUGAGAAACCUUUUACUAGUUUACCCAUCAUUUAUCCAAGUAUCUUUCGAAAGAAAUAGAUUCAGUUGAUAAGCAUCUUCCAGCUUAAGAAACAUAAUACCUAAGUAUCAGUGGUGAAGCUCUAAGCCAACCAAGGCAUGGAUAAAAAGAUACCACCCAGCUACAUCCCCCACCUUGAUUUAAACCUGCUCUUCAUUUCUUUCGUCCAUUUUGUUUCCUCUCCUUUCUUUCUGUUCUCACUUUCAUCUUUUCCUCUUGUUUCAUUUUCUCUCUUUUUAUCCCUUUUCACAUCAUAUUUGUUCCUCCACUGUCUUCCCUUCAUUCUAUGAAUGUUCCCAAUUCAGUAACAGCCACUACCAUUAGCAACACCAAGUGGUAACUCUUCAUGAUCUCCCAUCAUUAAUGAACCCCUUUGAGAGACCUGCACUUCUGGCAAAAAAGUUACAAGCGGAGUAGGUUUUUGUUUUUUUUCAAUUUAUGCUGAGCUAAAGGUAAUUAGUCCUAUCAUGUACUCUCUCCAAAUGAUAUAAUUUUGAUUUUCUUUGUUCUCUUAGAGUCAUUUACCAGCUGAAGAAAGAAGAGGAACAGGGAAGUCUACCAAGUUAUACAUCUCUAAGGUGGUUAGCAAUAUCUCGACAAAUUUUGAUGGCAUCAUCAACCCUAAACCAUGUCCAACUGGAGCUUAGUUUAUCAUAUAAAUUCAAUUAAAAUAAUUAACUUUCCAAAAAUAAUCAAUUAACACAUUAAAUUAGAGCAAAGAUGUCUGUCAAUUUCUCAUAUCAAGUAGAUGUUUGUCAUUUUCAAACCUAAAGAGGGCGUGUACAAAUGGUCCUGAAAUUUAACCCAGAUGAUAAUACAAACAGCUAUGUAACACAAAGAGAAUGACUGAGAAAAGCAAUGCCUUUUAGGUAAAGACAUUUAUCUCAAGGAUAGAUAAACAACACUUCACCAAAAUGCACAUAAAUAAUAGAGUUUACUUGAAUUACCAAAAUGAUAUAGUUAAGUAUUGCAAUUUGUCUUAUAUUUGGUUCUGAGAAACUGCAUAAAGAGGGUAUAAAUAAUCUAAAUUAAUUUAAAAAAUAAGGUUAACACACCAGAACAUAAUAAAAUACUAACUAAACCAACGUAAAAUAUUAGAAAUAGAACAGUAAAAACCUAAGAUGUCUUAAAUAUACAACAAAAAUAAUUUGUUCAAAGCAAAUAAAGCUUUAGGUAAAAACAUUGAAGUGUUGUUUUCAUAAUUUCACAUUUAAAGUUUACAUAUUGAUCUUUUUUGAUGACUAAAGUUUACAUAUUGAUCUUCGAGAAUUUCUAUUUCAAAAAGCUCAUUUCCUUGGAUUAUUUAUCACACCUCCCCACCAUAAUUUUAAUCUAUUAUAUUGGGACAAAAGGGUUUUUUGGAUGAACCAUCAUGAAUUUAUACUUUUUUUAUUGGUAAAAUCAUCCCAACCAUACCUUUUGGCAACCGAAAAGAAGAUGAGCUGGAUGAGUGAUCUUGAUGCCUCCUAAUCCUGUCUCAUUCUAGACCCGAAAUUGGAGUGGACCAAAAGGUUACUGGAGAAUUUCACUUGUAGGAAGCAAUAGUUAAACCCUGGUCAUUUUGAGAGAGGAGAAAGGGAGGGUAGACAAUCCUUGACAUUUGAAAUUUCUCAACAUGAUUAUGAGUAAAUUGAUCACAGGAGCUCGCUAGCUUCAGAAACUGCAGCAAGAAGGGUCACAAUGAUCUAUUUAACCGACAGAAGGGCAAGGAUUGCUAGCUCCAGCCUCCAUGUAGCCACAGGGGUCAAGUAAGGAAAAAAAUGAACUUCAUUGAAUCUUUGAGGAACACCAAAGCCCAUAUAAAAUAGUUUUUGGCACACUCUAAGGAGAUAGAAAGAGCAGAUGUUAAAUAUCCAGGAGCACAAAGCAGUGGAAUUCUGGUGAAAAAUAUCCGAUGCAGAGGACAAGUGAAACAUACCUUCUCCCCAUUCCUCCUUCCCAAAGGAAUUUUUUAUAUAAGGCCAGAACCACAGUUUCUCAAAGCAAGUUCUCACUUCUUAGAACAAAGGAACUACCAACAGGUAGAAGAAACACUCGCUAAUGGAAAUUUUGUAACUCACGUACCCACAGACAGAAUUAGAUAUAUUUACGACAGAGAGAAUCAUGAAACAAAAGGAAACUGAUCAGGUCCAACUGCCAAAAGCUAACCAUCCUUCGUCUUUUGUUACAGGGUGCUGCCAAGCUUAAUUCCACUCAGUGAUUUGAGAAAACAGGAGGAAGAUUCCGUGCGCAUGGUAAUAUGUGUACUGAACAUACCACUUCAAACCCUUACCCCAAAGUGAAAAUUCAAUCAUAUAUCUGCAGAAGCCAACACCAGCAUCCAGCAGGGAGAAUAACCAAAAUGCUGCAAUUAUUUGCCACUCAAUUUUACUAGAGCAUCCUAAAACCAUACAUAAAGCUGCGUAUAUUGCCAGGCCAAGAUGAUUUAAACGGUUCCCAUGUACUAAAUAGUGUAAAUAAUGAAAAGCACUAACUAGAAGAAUCUCCCAUACCAAAGCUCCCUCAUGAAGUCUGACAUGUACCAUCCUCAUCAACAUGACCGACUGCUUCAAGUAUUGACGAGUAUGUAAUAAGAUCAUAUUCAAAAGCAUUGGCACGCAUCUCUUUCAUCAGUCUUGCAGCUUCCUCGAACAUCCCAGCACGACUUAGGCAACCAAGAAUGGUGUUGUAAGAGACAGCAUCAGGUUUAAUUGUUGAAUUUUUCAUUUUUGUAAACAUCUCGAUCGCUCGCUGUGGGUCACCAGUCUUGGCCAAACCAUUUAGUAUUAUGUUAAAUGAGUUUAAGUCGGGAGCACAACCAUUUUCUUCCAUACUACGAAACAUGGAAAAAGCCUCAUCUAGCAUACCUGACCUCACCAGCCCGGACAUGAGUGCAUUGUGUGCAUAUACAUCCGGAGAACAUCCCAGCUUUUGCAUCUCAUUGAAAAGAUUGACAGCCUCAGUCAAACGGCCACAUUUCCCGAAGUGCUUUAUCAUUACAGCAUAUACCCGAGAACUGCUAGAUCCACAACUCUCUUUUAGUUCUUGAAACAACUCAUUUGCAGCUUCAUAGCGUUUUGCUUUUCCAAGGCUAUUGAUCAAGCUGCAAUAGGCAGCUGGACAAGGAGGAAAGCACUUCUCGUCCAUCUCCUCAAGCAAAGCUAAGGCUUUUUCAACUCUAUUUUUCUUGCAAUACCCAUCAAUAAGUAUUGAAUAAGUAAAAGAGCUUGGAGCAACACCAUUUGCUUUCAUUCUAUCAAACCAAGAUGAAACCUCGGAUAUAGGCGCUUUCGACUCAAACAGGGAUUUUAUAACAGUAUUAUAUGUCACAACAUUCGGUUUACAGUUUAAUGACUCCAUUUCAUUAAACAAUUUAAAAGCAUCACCUAUACGUCCUCCCCUUCCUAGAAGGUUUAUCACAUUGUUUAUCAACACAACAUCCGGCUUACAUCCCUCUUUUAGCAUGGACAGAAAUAUAGAAUACGCGUCCUCGAUUCUACCAGCUUUACCAAGCCCUCUUAUCAAUUCAGUGUAAGUAUACACAGUUGGGGCACAAGCAUUCUUCUUCAUCUCAUUGACUAAUGCUAAAGCCAUUUCGACCCUACCCAUUUUGAAGUAAACUGCUAACAAGGUUGUAUAUAUCUUUGCAGUGGGAUGUAAACCAUUGUCCUUCAUUUCAUCAAAUAACCUAAUAGCAGAAUCAUCACGACCUAACUUUGCAUAGGAUGAUAUAAGAGCACUGUAGGUUACUGUAUCAGGGAAACAGUUGCCCUCAUUACACAUUUCACUGUAAAGCUCAUGAACUUUUUCAUGUUGGCCCUCUUGCAUCAGCAUCAAAAUAAUGGAAUUGUAAGUGGUUGCAGUUGGCUUGCACUUGCGACCUUUAAUCUGGUAAAAUAUUGAUAGUGCUUUGUUUACCAUUUUUGCCCUGCCAAAAAUUCUCACAGUCUCGGAGAGAUCGGCAGGAGUAAUAACACAUGUACUCCGUGCCAUUUCUUGCACUGUCUUCCACAUUUCACCUGUCAGCCCAGCUUCUUCAAGACAUCGAAUCAAAGUCAGGUAAGUAGUAGAAUCAUGUUCAAAGUUCCUCCUUUUACCAGCCCACUUAAAAAACUGAAUUUUCACACUGACCUCCAUGUCUAUUUUCAUAACCUCUCGAACCAAUUCAUUGUCUACUUUCAACUUUAGCACCUCCAAUGCCUUUUCAGCAUCAGGACCCCACUUAAAUAUCUUCAGAAUCCUGAUGAACCUCUCAUCCAAUAUCCUUACAGAACCCCUUCUUAAGGGUGGUCUCUUCUCUUGGAUGCCUUCUGUUUCGGCCUUAGGCCUUGAGAUUUCAAACAUUUUAACAAUAUCACUUUCUGCAACAUAAACAAAAAAAAGGCUAUUACCAUUCACUAUCUUUGUGCAUUUGGGGAAAAAGAGGUUUUUUUUUCUACAAGUUAUACAUGCCAUGAAAAAUCCCAGUAUGUGCAUCACAUAGUAGCUUCAAAUUUUCCAGGGCAAUCAAAAAAUAUACCAAAGUUGGAAUCUAAUAGAACAUUGAUCUAUUUUUAUGCAUCCUAAAACUAUAUACAACUCUUUCCUGAAUCAACAAACAAAAUGAAUAAUAUAGUUCACACGAAGAAGUAGAAGCAACACACUCACCUGUCUGCUUAAUUCUCUGACAUAAACAAGAAAAUGUGGAUAUACUUCUCCUUGAACAAACAGUUCCUAUCAUCAUUGUAACUUCAACUUGAAGAAGCAAGUAUGCUUCCCACAAUCAAUACCUAAAACAAUAUUCGCUAAAAAUCAUGAGCAAUCAACUCGACAUAGAAGAAGAGAAGUGCAUCUAGCAGUCGGCAGAUGCCUCUGACCGUAACUCUCUCUAUAUAUAAAAAUUAGGCUUGCUAUACACUACUCUCAGACAAAAAAAAAAGAUAAUGGGUGCAGCGAUAUUUUUCCAGCUACCUUGAAAUUCAAUUUAUAGGCAGGUGGUGGUGGUAUCGUGGCGGUAACGCGGCCGCUAGAUUGGGCGGGAGUGGUGGUAACGCCGCCG
rnacentral:lncRNA from 1 species